rnacentral:sRNA from 1 species
UUUAUGCUGAAAGGUGAGCCCCGCUCAGGGACUGGCCGUGUCCUGGCUGGCACACCUGGCUUGCCUGUGAGCUGCUACUUCUCUGUCUUACAGGUGGGAACUUCUUCUCCAAGCACGUGCCCUGGAGUUACCUCGUCUUUCUAACUAUCUAUGGGGUGGAGCUGUUCCUGAAGGUCGCCGGCCUGGGCCCUGUGGAGUACUUGUCUUCCGGAUGGAACUUGUUCGACUUCUCCGUGACAGUGUUCGCCUUCCUGGGACUGCUGGCGCUGGCCCUCAACAUGGAGCCCUUCUAUUUCAUCGUGGUCCUGCGCCCCCUCCAGCUGCUGAGGUGAUGGGCAGGGCAGAGCCGGAGACAGGGAGAAAGAGAGGGAGGGCGGGAAUGCCCCAGGAUUGAUCCGGGAAGUGACCCAGAAUGAGCCAGAAGGUUCACAAGCCAGAGUCACAGAUGUCACCCCCUGGAGAAUCACCAUGGGGUCAACAUCCCCACCCCUGAGGGUGUGCAGGCUGCCUGUGCCCCUCCCCUCACUGCACCAGGUGCCUCUGGGCAGAGAAACCCAGCCCAUGACUCAUGUGCACCCCACCUGAGGUGGCAUUGCACCAGCCACAGGAGCCCAUAUGCUCAGUCACAGAUCACAGA